AGCUCUGGAGUGUUAUAAUGUAAGAUUGCAAAUCUUAAGAUGUAGGUUCGCAGCCUACUAGAGCUU
rnacentral:tRNA from 1 species